rnacentral:rRNA from 1 species
GCCAAGAAGCCUAAGGCUGCUACGACCACCGAGGAGGGGGGGUACAAGGCCAAGAAGCCUGCAGUUGCGGCCACGGCCGUGCCGGUGGCGGCGAUGACGGAGGCGGAGGUGGAGGAGCUGCCCAAGGCCAUCGUGCGAUGGCUGAUCAAGGACAAGCUGGCCCGGGCCACUGAGGGGGCAGAGGGAGGGGUGGAGGUCAUCGUCAACAAGGAUGCCAUGGCCGCCUUCGCUGAGGGCACCCACAUCUUCAUCCACCACCUCUCUGACAUGGCGAAUGAUGUGUGCAACGACGGGAAGAGGCAGAUGAUCAACGCCGAGGACGUCUUCAAGGCGCUCGAUGAGAUCGAGUUCCCCAAGUUUGUGGAGCCCCUGAGGACUGAACUGGAAGGUCAGUGUUGUAGCAGCAUGAGCUAUUCACAAGCAGUCCUGUAUCAUUUAUGUUUAUUUGACUAUAUAUCCUGUUUAGGUGUCACAACAUAG